CCUACGGGAGGCAGCAGUGGGGAAUAUUGGACAAUGGGCGAAAGCCUGAUCCAGCCAUGCCGCGUGUGUGAAGAAGGCCUUCGGGUUGUAAAGCACUUUCAGUGGGGAAGAAAGCCUUGGGGCUAAUACCCUCGAGGAAGGACAUCACCCACAGAAGAAGCACCGGCAACUCCGUGCCAGCAACCGCGGUAAUACGGAGGGUGCGAGCGUUAAUCGGAAUUACUGGGCGUAAAGCGCGCGUAGGCGGUCUGAUAAGCCGGUUGUGAAAGCCCCGGGCUCAACCUGGGAACGGCAUCCGGAACUGUCAGGCUAGAGUGCAGGAGAGGAAGGUAGAAUUCCCGGUGUAGCGGUGAAAUGCGUAGAGAUCGGGAGGAAUACCAGUGGCGAAGGCGGCCUUCUGGACUGACACUGACGCUGAGGUGCGAAAGCGUGGGUAGCAAACAGGAUUAGAUACCCCAGUAGUC
rnacentral:rRNA from 1 species